rnacentral:lncRNA from 1 species
CUGCUCCUCAUUUUUUGGCUCCUUUUUGUUGUCUAUUAAUUUCAAUAAUGUUAGCGUUUAUCUGUAUAUUAUGAACAUUCAUUAUAAAUAGAGUGUCCCAGGUUAAGGGGAGGGUUGGGAUCCCGCUAACAUGUUUAACCCCGCCACAUUAUUUAUGUAUGUGCCUGUCCCAAGUCAGGAGCCUGUAAUUCAGUGGUUGUCGUUUGUUUAUGUGUUGCAUAUUUGUUUUUCAUUUUUUUUUUUAUAUAUAAAUAAGGCCGUUAUUUUUCUCAUUUGAAUUGUUUUACAUUGUCAUCUCGGGGCCUGUUAUAGCUGAUUAUGCGGUAUGAUCUUUGCUCAUUGUUGAAGGCCGUACGGUGACCUAUAGUUGUUAAUGUCUGUGUCAUUUUGGUCUCUUGUGGACAGUUGUCUCAUUGGAAAUCAUACCCGUACCGUCCACAUCUUCUUUUUUAUAUGUAU